GCCCAGCUGUCAGCAGACCGGGGCCUUCUGGUUCCCUAUUUUUUCUGUGGUUUCAGGCCCGACCCCAGGCAGCGCCGAGCCCAGACCUCCCUGGUGGGCAGGUGGCACCCGAUGUGCACCGCAGGCACUGCCCUCUGUACGCCCUGGCGUUUGAUAGAUCAGUCCCACCCUCUCCUUUGGCGACAGCUGGACCUUUGGGAAGAUUUUACCGCGCUUUAAUGUAUUUCAGCGUGGUGUGUUGAAGUGAACACCGCGGCCGGCAGCAGUGCCCGCCACGAUGGGCUGCCAGCAGGGGCCUCGAAAACGAAACCUCUGCUCCUGGACGGUGCUGAACCCCGGCCAUAAUCCUGGAUCAUCUGCAGAAAUUAAUACCUUGGCUCAGAAGGAAAACAGCAUGGGAGCAAAUCGUGCCUAUUACACAAGAGCGACUUUAUUGUGCGAGAGUGUUGUGCGAGGAGCCGCUCGCUAGUUGUACCGCUGGAAGCCUCGGACAAAGCCGGUGAAUGAACGGGAGCCUUCCCACAGAUGGAAGGGUUCGAGUCCCAGUCGCAAUGAGGUAUUGCAGGGGGAGAACUGGCACGAUCCAACCUUUGCUGAUGCUUAUUUUGAAUAGAAGGAAUAAAAGGAGUAAGGUAGUUAACUGCGACAUGGAAACUGGGAUGCCGACAGCACACUGAUAUCGAUACAAGUUUGCUGCGAUAUUUCACAUUUUAUUUAUUGAAGAAAACACAUUUUGCUUCUGGAGAACAUCCAGAAUCGUUAAGCAGAAGAAAUGACCUAGUCUGGGAAGGAAUCGCAGUCAUGCAUGAGUGUUUGAGCCUCUCUCUCUCACUUUCCCUUUUUUUAAUAGUCUAAAAAGAAAAUAUUUGCUGGCAGUAGAGAUUUCUGGGCUGUGAGGUAAUGGCUUUUUUUUUCAUACAUAUGCAGAGUCAUCUUCUUGUUUCCUAAGCCUUAUUGCAGUUACAGAUGUGCUCAGAAAAUAUGAAGUAAUAGAGCCCAGCUAUGUGUUUUUAAUUCAAGCAAUUCAGAGCUCGCCCGAACUGAGCAGCGCUUGAAAGCAAGCUGUGGCUGGGCAUUUUUAUGAGCUUCUGUUUUUACAGAAAUUUUUAAAAUACUUGUUCUUUGGCAAAACGUUUUGAACGUUGUGAAGACCUUCAAGGGUUGAGCUCGUUUCUGUCACAAACCUAGAUUGUCAUCCAUGAGCCACGGGAUAUUACUUCUCACAGUGCUGCUCCCUGCGCUGAGGCUUCCAGGGUCUUGCCAAAAGGAGAAGCCCCUGCUUCGGCGUGCUUUCUCCCAAUUAGUUUUCCCAUAUUUGGAGGAGACAUAAAAGAAAAGGAAAGGCAGAUGUGAAGCAUCGUUCCAAAAAGAGCAUUUAUGCAGCAGGCUCCUGUGAAGACAGGUUUGGAGUUACACAAGUGCCAAUAGUCGCUGGGAAAAUUAAGCCCACUAUAAAAUAAUUAUUGUGCCUGGUCAGCUCUUUGGCACCAUUUGAAAGAUCUGGAGGUCAAGUAUUUAAUGAUCUGCUGCUCCAAAGGGAUCAAUGCAUUUCUGCAGGGGUCAUUGCAGGAUCGAUAAUUGCGCAUCCCCCAAAAAACUGGAGGGAAAGCGGACUUCGGCGGCUCCUUCCCAGAAACCACUCAGCAGCCCGGGCAUUUGCUGGAGCCCCGGGCACCUGCAGCUCUGGAGGACAACGAUGAGCUGGCGAUGAGUUACUUGUGCUCAGCUCGUUGUUCGUUGCAGCCUCUGCCCAGUGCUGUUCUGUAGGGAACCUUUUCUCACAGUCCCUGAUCCUGAGCCCUGCAAAAUCUGCAGCAGAUACGGUCGAUGUGAGACUACCCAAACGUGAGGAUGACAGCAGGAGUAUCGCUUACGGGUAUCAGCACUGAAAUCACUGCAGGUCAAGUAAACAGGACAAAGGAAGCUGACCCGGCACACGUGACAGCACGUAGGUGGCUAGCUGCUGCGUAUCAGAUCUGGCCUGAUCGCCUAAGAGGAAGCCAAGCAGAAAAAGUGCUGGUCAUUUUUUGCCAUGUUUAACGUUAGUAAGUUUUUCCAUGGCUGGAACAGAGCUCUCGCUCCCCUCCCGGUUGCCUGAGGAGUUUUGCAGUUGAGCUGAUGGAAUCAGCAAAAAACAUAGCUGAGGUCCGGGGUUAUGUGGAACACGUGGAUGGAUACAGGGGUGGAGCGGGCCCCCAGCAGCACGGGCACUCAGGGCUCAGGCACUGCUCAUCCCCGUGCCCUUGGGUACCGCUCAGCCCCGCAUCCUCGGGUUACAUCCCCAUGUCCUCAGGUACCGUUUGUCUCCACAACCCCAGGCUCAUCCCCAUGCCCUCGGUACCACUUGUCCCCACAUCUCCAAGGCUACUGCUCAUCCCAGUACCUCAGGUACCUUUUAUUUCCAUGCCCUUGGGUACCUUGGCAGCUCCCAUCCCUGCCCCAGCCCUGUAUUUAAUGCCUUGAGUCAAUCCUGAAAUAUUAAUACAUAAAUAAAUGAUUUUUUAAAUC